UUAAUUAUGAUAUUGCUGUUAUUUUUUCUUUAUCUUAUUUUUCUUAAAAUAAUAUUUUUUUUAGUAAUUUUUAUUGAAUUUAUAAUUUUAGCUAUAGUUUAUGUUACUGUGAAGGACUUUUUUUUAUUAUUUAUAAGUUGACUUUUUUUGUUGUACCUUUUGUAUCAGGGUUUAUUAAUUUUAAAUUAAUUAUUAUUAAUUUUCCCGAAAUUAUAAGAGAUAUAUUUAAAUGAUAGUUUACGUUUUAUAGUAAUUUUUAAUUUAUAUAUAGAGGUUAUAUGCUAUUCAAUUUUAAAUAUCUGGUUGUUUAAUAAACUAAUUUAAUUAGGUCUAUUGAUUGGUUAUUUUAUAAAUUUAUUUUUUUUAAUAUCAAUAGAUAAAAUUAUAGGGGAUAAGCUCUGUAUUUGUUUUAUAAUCUAAUUUUUUGUAAAGAUUUUGUAGGCUUGACAACAGCCAUCAUUUAUUUCGUUAUAGUUAAUUCUUAGUUAAUUUUAAUUUAUUUAAGAUUUAAGUUUUUAUUAAACUUUUUAUUUUAAUUUUUUAUUUUAAGUAAUAAUGAUAGAAUUAGUAGUUUUGAACAUUUAAAUAUAAGAAUUCGGCAAAUUUAGUUCCCGCCUGUUUAACAAAAACAUGUCUUAUAGAUUUUUAAUUUUAAGUCUAAUCUGCCCGGUGAUUUAUUAAACGGCCGCAGUAUUCUGACUGUGCGAAGGUAGCAUGAUCAUUUGUCUCUUAAUUGGAGGCUUGUAUGAAUGAUUGGACGAGGAACUGACUUUUUUUAUUUAAUUUUUAUGAAUUUGAUUUUUGAGUCAAAAAGCUUAAAUUUUUUUGCAAGACGAGAAGACCCUAUAGAAUUUUAUUUUUAGCUAAUUAUUUAUGAUUUGGUUAAUUAACAAUAAAUAUUUUUUUAAAAAUUUUGUUGGGGCGAUAUUGAAAUUUAAUUAACUUUCAUUUAUUAUUUUUCAUUGCUUAGUGUAUUUUUUGAUCCUUUAUUAUGGAUUAAUAGAUUAAAUUACCUUAGGGAUAACAGCGUAAUUUUUUCGGAGAGUUCUUAUCGAUGAAUUAAGUUUGCGACCUCGAUGUUGGAUUAAAGUGAAUUUUUGGUGCAGAAGCUAAAAAAUUUGAGUCUGUUCGACUCUUAAAUCUUUACAUGAUCUGAGUUCAGACCGGCGUGAGCCAGGUUGGUUUCUAUCUGCAAUCAUUUAUUAUAUUUUAGUACGAGAGGACCAAAUAUAAGUAAUAUUUAUUAUAUUUUGAUUAUUAUUA
rnacentral:rRNA from 1 species